rnacentral:rRNA from 1 species
AUUGAACGCUGGCGGCAUGCUUUACACAUGCAAGUCGAACGGCAGCGCGGUCUUCGGCCUGUCGGCGAGUGGCGAACGGGUGAGUAAUGCAUCGGAACGUUCCCAUUCGUGGGGGAUAGCCCUGCGAAAGCUGGAUUAAUACCGCAUACGACCUGAGGGUGAGAGCGGGGGACCGAAAGGCCUCUCGCUAUUGGAUCGGCCGAUGUCGGAUUAGCUAGUUGGUGGGGUAAUGGCUUACCAAGGCGACGAUCCGUAGCUGGUCUGAGAGGAGGACCAGCCACACUGGGACUGAGGGACGGACCAGACUCCUGAGAGAGGCAGCAGUGGGGAAUUUUGGACAAUGGGGGCAAACCUGAUAAAGGCAGGAAGCGUGAGGGAAGAAGGCCUUCGGGUUGUAAAACGCUUUUGUUCGGGAAGAAAUCCUCUGGGCUAAUAAAGCGGGGGGAUGACGGUACCGGAAGAAGAAGCACCGGCUAACUACGUG